AAGGACAUCUCCCUCUGCGGCCUCAAUAGGAGCAUCUGCAAGGCGUUUGGGAAAUGUGUGACAACUAAAGAGCGUUCGGGGCUCAUUCAUCCACCGGCCUUGUGUCUCCUUCCUCCCGCACCAAUGGGGUGGUGGAGACGGAGACAUCCCCCAGGGGGAAGGAAUAUGUUUGGGUUGCAAAUUAGCCAAAACAUUGGCUUUGACCCUUGGUGGGGUGUAAGACAAAAGAAAGCGUGGUGGCGAUGAUAUUCUCAGGGUUUACGUAACCGCACGGAGUCAACCCACGGUUUUGUGGGGGAAGUUAGUAACGCUCUAACUUUGAAAACAAGGAUUCUGGUCGGAUGACAAACUGACACCCACUUCUUAUCUGACAGUCAUAAAAAUGGAUUGUCUCUGAAAUAAAACAUCAGAAGUGAUGAAGUCUCUUUGAUGAAAGGCUUAUUCAUUGUCACGCCAGCUCCCUCAAACGAGCUGUGGUUUGGGUGACAUAUGUGCGACCCUCCCCCCCUCCCGACCCCCUUGCAGCUUACCCGUCUUUGUGUCUUCAGACUUCCUGUUGUACCGUUGGCAGGAGUGUCUGUGUGUGUGUGUGUGUGUGUGUGUGUGAAAGCUGUUAGGCAUCUUUUAGGAUCUGAUGAGGAAACUUAAAAGAAAAAAAGCCCUCAGCCAGGUCAGGGACAUUAAAGUCUUGUGAUUUCAAGUGUGUGUGUGAGAGACCAUGUCCAGCUGCUACCUUUGGAAAAAAAAACUUUGAAGCAAGCAAGCUUUUGGUGCGAGACGGGAUGCUUUAUUUCAUUAAGUUGUAAAGUCUUAAGCUCCAGUCGAGUCAGACACCAGGCGAGCAAUGUUACCACACUUUAUGACCGGUUUAUUUAAAAAUCAAAGUCCGAUGUGGCAUUCAUUUAUUGCCGCUGUAUUUAACUUCAUGUUUCUUAUUAUAUCUUCAAGUUGUUAGUUGAUAUCAGUAGAUAGUAACAACAACAUUUGCCAGUGUCACUAAGUUGUCAAUCGCCUUUACCGUCUAGCAACUGAGCUUUGACUCAGCUUCAAAGUCAUUUUGAUUCACACAACCCAGAGACCAAAACCAAACCAAACAAUUGAUUUAUAAAGUGUCAGACUUUGCUGUCAUGACAGGAAGUAACACAACGCCAUCCCUCCUCCCUCUUUACAUAAUCCACUUUUAGUUGCAUGCCUUUUCUCACAUGACAUACGUGACACAAUCCACUUUUAAUUGAAUCCUCUCAUGUGUACAUACAGUUUAAAUGCCUUCAAUAUGUAUCUAAAUGACUCAAUAAAAAGAUUUGCUUAAAGCCGACUUUCCACGUUGCAACAAAAGAACAUGAGAUUACCGUCAUCAUUGUAAAACCAUAUGACAUCUAGUCUCCAGUUCCAUGAAUCUUUAAAUGUUUUCAGUUGUACUUCUUAGAAACAUUAUUACAUACUGGAACCCUAUAGUAGAAAAUGACUUCUAUUAGGAUAUAACGCUGUCAUUGCAUUGUCAAAACACCAUAUGAAUGACUUCAUAUGCACACUAUCCGUGAAUGUUCAGAUGUUAUUUUUAAAGAAAUAGUUUCUCAUUGUCUUUUUGACAGAAAAGGGGGGUAAUGACUGUGGCGAGAAGGUUUGCUGUGUAGGGGCAGAUGAUUAUACUUAGACGUCCGGCACAUACUGAAAAGGAUCCCAGAAGCCCCUUUUCCCACCGCGCUCAAAGCAAGCCAGACGAGCCAGACGCCGGUCCUGUUUGGGUUUCGAUGCAAACAGAGUCAGAGUGGAUGUUGCCUGAAGGAGAAAUCAACGCGUCAUCUGCUUCAAAAGC
ensembl:lncRNA